rnacentral:rRNA from 1 species
GACGAACGCUGGCGGCGUGCUUAACACAUGCAAGUCGAACGGAAAGGCCCUGCUUUUGUGGGGUGCUCGAUUGGCGAACGGGUGAGUAACACGUGAGUAACCUGCCCUUGACUUUGGGAUAACUUCAGGAAACUGGGGCUAAUACCGGAUAGGAGCUCCUGCUGCAUGGUGGGGGUUGGAAAGUUUCGGCGGUUGGGGAUGGACUCGCGGCUUAUCAGCUUGUUGGUGGGGUAGUGGCUUACCAAGGCUUUGACGGGUAGCCGGCCUGAGAGGGUGACCGGCCACAUUGGGACUGAGAUACGGCGCAGACUCCUACGGGAGGCAGCAGUGGGGAAUAUUGCACAAUGGGCGGAAGCCUGAUGCAGCAACGCCGCGUGCGGGAUGACGGCCUUCGGGUUGUAAACCGCUUUCGCCUGUGACGAAGCGUGAGUGACGGUAAUGGGUAAAGAAGCACCGGCUAACUACGUG